rnacentral:misc_RNA from 1 species
UUAAAUAUGUAAUAAUACUCUGACAAUAAUAUAAGGGAUUAAGAGGUCCUCUGACAAGCACUAACCAGCCAAAGCCAGUAGUUAUAAAACAGGCCUGCCAAAGCAACAAAGAUAUUGUAAACAAAGGGUGGGAGAUAUACCCCAAGGGGCAUGUUCUCUGUAAUGAUCCUUCCGCAGGUUCACCUACGGAACGCAAACUCUACUGAUUUUUACAAGAGUAGGCCGGUCAUAUCUAAAUCCUAUCUACAGCUAUAGAACUAACCAGGUAGUAAUAGCUAAAGACCACCUUUGUUUGAUCUGUGAACUACAAUUAGUAGCUGCUUGUUACCUAGAGGUAUCCAAGCACAUUAAAGGUGUUGCCUAUACAAUAGACUGAAAUCAAGGCUUCAGUAUGGUGUGUUUUAUGAAA